AUACGGAGGGUGCAAGCGUUAUCCGGAAUCAUUGGGUUUAAAGGGUCCGUAGGCGGGCUAAUAAGUCAGGGGUGAAAUCCCACAGCUUAACUGUGGAACUGCCCCUGAUACUGUUGGUCUUGAGUUACAGUGAAGUGGUUAGAAUGUGUAGUGUAGCGGUGAAAUGCAUAGAGAUUACACAGAAUACCGAUUGCGAAGGCAGAUCACUAACUGUAUACUGACGCUAAUGGACGAAAGCGUGGGGAGCGAACAGGAUUAGAAACCCCGGUAGUCC
rnacentral:rRNA from 1 species